rnacentral:SRP_RNA from 1 species
GCUGGGCGUGGUGGCUCAUGCCUGUAAUCCCAGCACUUUGGGAGGCUGAGGCGGGUGGAUCACCUGAGGUCAGGAGUUUGAGACUAGCCUGGCCAACAUGGUGAAACCCUGUCUCUA